UCUUCUAAGAUGGCUGCCGCUACCGGUGCGGUGGCAGCCUCGGCCGCCUCGGGUCAGGCGGAAGGUAAAAAGAUCACCGAUUUGCGGGUCAUCGAUCUGAAGUCCGAGCUGAAGCGGCGGAACUUAGACAUCACCGGAGUCAAGACCGUGCUCAUCUCCCGACUCAAGCAGGCUAUUGAAGAGGAAGGAGGCGAUCCAGAUAAUAUUGAAUUAACUGUUUCAACUGAUACUCCAAACAAGAAACCAACUAAAGGCAAAGGUAAAAAACAUGAAGCAGAUGAGUUGAGUGGAGAUGCUUCUGUGGAAGAUGAUGCUUUUAUCAAGGUAAAGUGUUAAUUACUCAGGUUAAGAUGCUUAUUUUAAGCCUAGUAUUUUGCAUCAUGAAUUUUGUGCUUUUUAUUGAACAAUGGUCACUGAAGUAUGUAGGUUAAAGAUAAAGACCUAUGUAAUAUUGACAACGUUUAAUAUUGUCAAUCUCAUUAACGCUCAUAAUUGAGAAAUAUAGUAAAUAACUUUUUCUUUAGUUAAAUGAGAUACAAAAGCUAAAAUUAAUAAUCUCUCCAGGCCUUUAGGUAGAAAGCUGGCCAGGGGAAUAGCUACGAGACAAUUGAUAUACAUGUUAGUUCCUGGAUGAGAUAUCACAGGGAAGGAUAUUGGUAAUUUAUUUUUUAUCUGCCAUUGCAUU
rnacentral:sRNA from 1 species